GCUCUUUCCAUCAGAUUUAAUAGGAAAAGGGUUUCCUGUGUUGGUGUCUCCAUUUGUUAUUCAUUUCUUGUUUUUGUAAAAUGUUAAAAGAUUGUGCCAUUUAGACAAGUAGAGAUGCCAGUCACUUUCCCUAAAAUUGUCAUCCUGCCACUCCCUGCUCUGCAGCUGGGGCGAUCCUUCCCAAAUGCCAAGCUGCCCCCACACCACCCUGUGGGGGUUCUUCCGAGGUUUCCCUGCUCUCUGGUGGCCGUGGACUCCCAGUAGCCCCCUCCUCUCCAGCUGCCUCCCUGCUCGCUGCACCGCAGCCACGCCGCCCUCUGUCCCCUUCCAUCCGUGUCCCUGCCAGCCUCCCCUGCCUCCACACCUUUGCCCAGGGAUGCUCCCUUGGCCUGGAAUGCUGCUCUCCCCACUCCUGUCUCUCCCCUCAUUUCCUCUAGCUAACUCCUCUCCAUCCUUCCCCCUCUGGAUGCUCUGAGGAGGAUCAGGUCUGACGGUGAGCUCCCCAAGAAUGGGGAAUCUGGUUCUCCCUAAUAAUCUCAACACCUACCAUGUUGCCCAGCACACAGGAGGUAUUUCAUAAGCAUUGGGGAGCCAACAAAUGAAUGAAUGGAUGACGUCCUGUCCAGCUUUAGCUCCAGUGGCUGGAAGACCCGAACCCAGGGUGAGGUGACUGCCUCCAGCUUCAAACUGUCCUGAGCUCUGACCCUGGGCUGACUGAGCCCUGAUCCUGGACUCAGGCUAAGCCCUGACUUCAGCCCCAGACUGAGUCCUGACCUGAGACAUUUAGCUUUGACUCCAGCCACAGAUUCCUAAAGUCUGCCCCCGACUGCUCCCACCUCAGAAAGACUCCUCUCCACUGCCAUUUCGGUGGCUGAAGGAGGAGGUGGCCCAGAGACAGUGAGGCCAGUGGGCCGGGCUGCGAUAGGACCCCCAGGACCUACAUCUGAAUGGUGGGGAGGACGGUGGAAGUGGAUGCACCUGGGGGACCGUCUCAGAGGGGCUGGCCCACUCCUACUGCGCCAGAUCUGGAGGUGUGCUCCUGUCUGAACUCCAUCCUGCCUGCUGCCCAGCGACUCCCUGGCUUCCUCCCUGUCACAUGGGACUCCCGCACCCGGUGCUGUCCAGGGACCCCCCACACUCCACACCCUCCGGACCUCGCAGGACAUUUCCAGGUCUGGCCACAAGGUGGAGCGUGGCAGCUGCAGGACAGUGCUGGGGGCCGGGCUGCGGAGGAGCCUGGACCUGCGCCCGGUGACCUCCCCGCUCUGUGAACGUGUGGGAGUUUGUGUCUGUGCAUCCAGAGAACCAGAGGGCUGUGGUUGACUUGCCGUGCUCCCCCCAACCCCCCACUGGGAUUGCCUGGGUCUCUGGGGGAUCACUGAGAAGCUGGAUAAAGAGGGCUGGCACUGUUGCCUCGGCUCACUAAUGCCUCAUGGUUUUACAGGUGAGGAGACUGAGGCCCAGAGAAGGAAGUCACGUGCUGAGGUCACUGACUAAUCAGUGGCUGAUCUGGUCGAACCCAGAUCUCUUGAGCUGUAAGGUCUCUGCUUUUCCUGUGGCAUGGAGAGGGGCUUCUCCCACCUAGGGAGGGGAGAUCCUGUUGUACUGGGGAGGCAGGGGAUUAAAGAUGGACUGAGAGGUUAGGGUCCCAGAAACCAAGGGGCAAUCCCUGUCCCAGAGAACCGGCCUCAAGGGUGGGGAUGGGGUAGGGGCAGCGGAUAAGGGGUCUGCCCAGGGCUUCUUGGGUUCCCUUCUAGGGUUCCUGGGCACCCAGGGCUGCGGCACUUGCCCCGGGCUAGAGGGUCAACCAGGCCCUGCAUGGUGCCCACCGCUCCCUCCCGUGCACUGCAGGGGACCCUUGUCCAUCCCUUUAGCUCGUCUGGACCCCCCUCAAUGGCUCCUGCUGUCUUUCCAGGCUGUGUCCUCCCAUGUCAGAGACACAUCCCAGAGCCCAGGGCCUGCGUGGGCUGUAUCCACGGUUACUGAAUAGGGACAAACAGGCAUGCAUUGGCAGGGGCCGGUGGCUCAUUUCAGGAAAGUCCCUUCAGCAAGAGGAUUGUCUCCCCACUGGGGCUGAGGGCAGUGGCAGAAAGUAAUGUUGUUU
rnacentral:lncRNA from 1 species